GAUAAAAACGCGCAUUGCGACGGAGGGGCAAGUUUCAGCAGGUUGGGGGCAAAUAGAAUUUGAUUCAGUGAGGACAGCCACCAAUGUUCGCCAGAUUUUAAAUAGAACCAUCUUAGAUGGACGCGCGCUUACUUUACAACUUUGCCGACCGGUUGAACCAGUGCCGAGUUCAACCACAUUAUUUGUGGGCAACAUUGCUCCUUCGGCCACUGAAGAGGAUAUAAGGAAGAUUUUUUGCCCGUUAGGGAAGGUGAAGAGUGUGACGCUGCCACUGCCGCCUUUGGGAACUAAAAGACGAAUUGGAUUUGUCGAGUACUCAGCAGAGCAGGAGGCACAGAGUGCUCUUCAAAGGCUGGGGGACACCUAUCUGUUUGGAUGGCGUUUGGUGAUAGAAAAAGCUAGGGAAAAGAAAAACAGAGACAAUCAAACAGUCCGGCGAAGUUAAUGAGGAAGACGAGGAUAGAUUGAACUUCAACAGAAUGGCCGCAGGUGGAAGAAUUGUAUGAAGAUACAGUACCACACAUCAUUCUUUGGUUGACCUUACACGUGUAUUCAGGAAUAAGCUUUGCAGGAGUCGGGAGACCAAUACUAACAUUGCAGCGUAAUAUAGAGUUUUGAUCGCUUAGCAGGAUAUCUUACUUACCCGUUUGUUUGGAAUUCUUGCCGUUGGACUUGUGUUCUACUAAGCACAGCUAAGUUUACGUCGCUGGCUUGUAGUUGAACGUGUGACGUGGCAGUGCACCAUGAUUGAACAUCUGAGUAACAUGCUUGCAUCAUGAUUGAAUGUCUUAGUAACAUGCUUUUUCGUAACAAGGACACACGAUUCACGUUCGGGGUUUUGUCAAUUUUCGUUCGUAUUCAA